CACGUUACGGCGGGCCCCCCGUUCUGCACCCACCGCUCGCUGCGUCGGCCCUGCGGACACCUGGGCCCCGGCGGUGCACUUGCCUGAAGACGGUCUCUCCAGAAACCACUGGGCUGUGCACAGAGAAGAGAGAAAAGGGAAAUGGCGUGCCCACAGUGUCCAUUUCUCUGGUGGGAGACUGUGCCCACACGGGGCGUCUGGCAAUUAGCUCGAAAGUGGACGAGCUCAUUCCCUCUCUAAACAGGUGGUGUCGGCUGAGGUCUCUCACGUGGAUAUAAUCAGUUGGCAGCUAGACUGGGCUGAAAGGUCAAACAGGGCUUCUCAUGUGCCUGGGGUCUUGGUGCUGGCUGUUGGCUGGUCCUUUACGUCAUGACCUUUUUACGAGGCUAGCUGGGGCUUCCCCAAGCAUGGCAGCUGGAUUCCUGGAGAGAGCAUCCCAAGAGGACAGACAGACC